GAAAAUGUUGAUUUUACUUUUCAAUCCAGGGGCCACCUCUUUCAUUGGUGUGUGCAGCUGACGUUUCAUAUUACAGAAAUCAUCUCUGGGCUCACAGCCUACACUCUCUUCCUCAUUCUGGUUACUCAUUCUUUCUUUUAGGUUGUGUUUUUUUGUAGAUGACUUUAAACUAUUUCUUUUCAUAUUAGGUCUGAAAUUACUUUUAUCCAGUAUACCAAUUUUUUCCUGAUGUUUUAAACCUUGGUUUUUGUUAUUUAUUUGAUAAUAUCUACUGCUGAAGGAAAUCUUAAACUUAGUUUUAGGAAAUAUGAAGUUAAGUUCUUUCAAUUGAUUAUCUCCUCUUUCCCACUCCCUUGCUCUGGUUCUGCACUUGAAGUUGCAUUGCUCCCAGGUAGCGUCAUGCUGGGUGUUACCUUAGUGCUUUCCUCGAUGCGUGAUCUGAGUGACUCCAUGGUGCAUACACAUCAUCCUGGGUGUUACCUUUGUGCUUUCCUC
rnacentral:lncRNA from 1 species